UUGAACGCUGGCGGCAUGCUUUACACAUGCAAGUCGAACGGUAACAGGUUAAGCUGACGAGUGGCGAACGGGUGAGUAAUGCAUCGGAACGUGCCCGAUCGUGGGGGAUAACGCAGCGAAAGCUGCGCUAAUACCGCAUACGAUCUAAGGAUGAAAGCGGGGGAUCGCAAGACCUCGCGCAGUUGGAGCGGCUGAUAUCAGAUUAGCUUGUUGGUGAGGUAAAAGCUCACCAAGGCGACGAUCUGUAGCUGGUUUGAGAGAACGACCAGCCACACUGGGACUGAGACACGGCCCAGACUCCUACGGGAGGCAGCAGUGGGGAAUUUUGGACAAUGGGCGAAAGCCUGAUCCAGCAAUGCCGCGUGCAGGAAGAAGGCCUUCGGGUUGUAAACUGCUUUUGUACGGAACGAAACGGUCCGCUUUAAUACAGUGGGCUAAUGACGGUACCGUAAGAAUAAGCACCGGCUAACUACGU
rnacentral:rRNA from 1 species